rnacentral:sRNA from 1 species
GCGCCUGUGGCGGAUCAGGCAUGAACCGUUAUAAACGCUUCGCAGGCAGCAGGUUCAUGUACGGUCUGGUAUAUUCCGUAUAUAUACGGAAUUUAAUGAUUCC